UCGUUCGUUCGUUCGUUCGUUGCUUUCGCUGCACUUCUGAACUAAUGCACAAAAGUGUAAUAAGUUUUUAGCACAUGAUGCGCGGAAAAACUAAACAUAACCUGCAAUAUUUACUUUUGGCCCAUUAUAAUUUACUUGUGAUGUCGCGUUUUCAAACUAAAAGUAUAUAAAGGAAACAAGAAAUAAUAGAAAACGAAUUUUUAAAUGAUUCUGACGAAGAAAUUUCUUUUUAUAAUCUCAGCGAUAAGCUGCGCCAAGAAUAUUCGCUCUUGUUCCGUAUAAUAAUUUCAGUACUGACAGUAAAUAUAGGAACGCAGCUUUCCUUCCUUCCUUUAUUCCUUCUGGAAGGAAGACUCGAGAUCCAUUUAUGAAAUAAGGUGGCCUUGGAGGUUCAACGAAUCCUUCAUCGAGGCUUCCUCCAUUUUUAAGAUAAGGAAGAACGGGUUUGUAAUGAAUACGGGUAUUAAUCGUCAUGACGUUUUUGGAUGACAUCUUUGGUCGGAAGUCUCCAUGCCGGAGGAGGUGCCUCGUCCGGCGUGUUGUCAUCUAAAACAGAAACCGUCUGAUUUUUCGUGGACGUCCGUACUAGCUACACGCUCAUUUAACGCAUUGGUUUAUGUAAUUACACAUAUAGAAAUUGUACUAAAAUUAAUUAAUAUCAUUUGACUACAUACAAUGCCAAUAUAUUUCAUAACACACAACACCGAUAGCAUCAUCAAUACCAUACGAAAACGAAAAAAAAGGACCGCAAGUUUAAAAUUCAUAACACCAAUGAUGAAGCUAGCAUACAUUUCCACUAGUGUCGGCAGUUAUGUCGCACAAAUCAUAAGAAAAACAAAUAUACAAACAAGGGCUCUGUGCAUUCUCACAUAAAAAAUAACGAAAAGAACAGAUAAUCUUUCAGUAUAGAAUGAUAUAUUUGGUCAAGAUAUUUCCAUUACAAUGCUUAUAGAACCUACUUGAAAGACGCCACGCUAUUAAAGAAUCUAUACGUCUAAAUAUUUUUGAAAGAAAUCGGAAUAAUCGUCGAUCAACAUAAAGUUGUAUAUAUACAUAGUUCAUCGCCAAAACAGAUCCUCAAGAUAACAAUCCUAAAAGACCUCUCACAAAAAAUUCACGUAUAAAAAUCUCUAUCUUGCCAACAAAUCUCAAAUCACCCAACACAAUUUCACGCACAUUCCAGCACGAAUAAUCUUUAAUCGUUUACGUAGAAAAUCUAAUCGAGCUGUUAAUGCAUACACAAAAUCGCCGUACAGCAAAAUAGAUUUAUAUGCGAGCUUCUAACACGAAAUAAAUUUAACACGAGAUAAAGUGGCUGUCGUACUGCAAAAAA